rnacentral:misc_RNA from 1 species
UGUGUUGCUUACCAACGUGAUGGAAUUCGAUCGUAUCGUUGCCCCUUUUCCGCCCGAUGUCCUCUAUGGGGUGUUGGGUGGACGCCAGGCACACCACGUGUUCCUCGCAUGCCUUGCCGUGUUGCGGGGCUGUUGAGGCCCACGGGGUUGUUGCCCGUUCUCUCGGAUGCGGAAUGCCACGCGUGGGUGCGGGGUUUCGACCUUCGCUCGCCCAAGCUACGCAUUUGUCCCUUGACACGAACGACCGCCGCGGUCGCCUUGAUCCCGUUGUGGCCUACGCGUCGCACGGACGUCAUGCGAUCGUUGGUGUCGUCAAGAAAUGCUACCUGGUUGAUCCUGCCAUUAUUCA